rnacentral:rRNA from 1 species
AUUGAACGCUGGCGGCAGGCCUAACACAUGCAAGUCGAGCGGAUGAAGGGGGCUUGCUCUCUGAUUCAGCGGCGGACGGGUGGGUAAUGCCUAGGAAUCUGCCUGGUAGUGGGGGACAACGUUUCGAAAGGAACGCUAAUACCGCAUACGUCCUACGGGAGAAAGCAGGGGACCUUCGGGCCUUGCGCUAUCAGCUGAGCCUCGGUCGGAUUAGCUAGUUGGUGGGGUAAAGGCUCACCAAGGCGACGAUCCGUAACUGGUCUGAGAGGAUGAUCAGUCACACUGGAACUGAGACACGGUCCAGACUCCUACGGGAGGCAGCAGUGGGGAAUAUUGGACAAUGGGCGAAAGCCUGAUCCAGUCAUGCCGCGUGUGUGAAGAAGGUCUUCGGAUUGUAAAGCACUUUAAGUUGGGAGGAAGGGCAGUAAGUUAAUACCUUGCUGUUUUGACGUUACCGACAGAAUAAGCACCGGCUAACUUCGUGCCAGCAGCCGCGGUAACAC